GACGAACGCUGGCGGCGUGCUUAACACAUGCAAGUCGAGCGGUAAGGCCUUUCGGGGUACACGAGCGGCGAACGGGUGAGUAACACGUGGGUGAUCUGCCCUGCACUUCGGGAUAAGCCUGGGAAACUGGGUCUAAUACCGGAUAUGACCUCCUAUCGCAUGGUGGGUGGUGGAAAGAUUUAUCGGUGCAGGAUGGGCCCGCGGCCUAUCAGCUUGUUGGUGGGGUAAUGGCCUACCAAGGCGACGACGGGUAGCCGACCUGAGAGGGUGACCGGCCACACUGGGACUGAGACACGGCACAGACUCCUACGGGAGGCAGCAGUGGGGAAUAUUGCACAAUGGGCGAAAGCCUGAUGCAGCGACGCCGCGUGAGGGAUGACGGCCUUCGGGUUGUAAACCUCUUUCAGCAGGGACGAAGCGCAAGUGACGGUACCUGCAGAAGAAGCACCGGCUAACUACGUG
rnacentral:rRNA from 1 species